CAUAUCAAUAAGCGGAGGAAAAGAAACUAACAAGGAUUCCCCUAGUAACUGCGAGUGAAGCGGGAAAAGCUCAAAUUUAAAAUCUGGCGGUCUUUGAUCGUCCGAGUUGUAGUCUGGAGAAGUGUUUUCCGUGCUGGACCGUGUAUAAGUCUCUUGGAAUAGAGCGUCAUAGAGGGUGAGAAUCCCGUCUUUGACACGGACUACCAGUGCUUUGUGAUGCGCUCUCAAAGAGUCGAGUUGUUUGGGAAUGCAGCUCAAAAUGGGUGGUAAAUUCCAUCUAAAGCUAAAUAUUGGCGAGAGACCGAUAGCGAACAAGUACCGUGAGGGAAAGAUGAAAAGCACUUUGGAAAGAGAGUUAAACAGUACGUGAAAUUGCUGAAAGGGAAACGAUUGAAGUCAGUCGCGUUGUUUGGAACUCAGCCUUGCUUUUGCUUGGUGCACUUUCUGAAUGACGGGCCAGCAUCAAUUUCAGCCGUUGGAAAAAGGCUGGGGGAAUGUGGCACCUUCGGGUGUGUUAUAGCCUCUGGUCACAUACAAUGGUUGGGAUUGAGGACCGCAGCGCGCCGUAAGGCAGGGGGUUUCCCACUUUCGCGCUUAGGAUGCUGGCAUAAUGGCUUUAAACGACCCGUCUUGAAACACGGACCAAGGAGUCUAACAUGCCUGCGAGUGUUUGGGUGGAAAACCCGAGCGCGUAAUGAAAGUGAAAGUUGAGACCUCUGUCAUGGAGGGCAUCGACGCCCGGACUUGAAGUUUUCUGAUGGAUCCGCGGUAGAGCAUGUAUGUUGGGACCCGAAAGAUGGUGAACUAUGCCUGAAUAGGGUGAAGCCAGAGGAAACUCUGGUGGAGGCUCGUAGCGAUUCUGACGUGCAAAUCGAUCGUCAAAUUUGGGUAUAGGGGCGAAAGACUAAUCGAACCAUCUAGUAGCUGGUUCCUGCCGA
rnacentral:rRNA from 1 species